rnacentral:lncRNA from 1 species
GGCAGGGAUCAACCGGAAAGUUUGACAUGGAACUCGGCGGAGCCUGAGAUGAAGGCGAUACCACAGCGGAGGAUGCGAGGUUAGCGUGGUUUACUGUAGCGUGGUCAGGAGAAGGAGAAGCGUCACCACCAAAGGAAGGAGAAGCUACAUUAGAGGAGGAUGCGGCGCUAUUAAAGGCAGGGGGAUCAUUGGUGGGCCGAGCCGCCGGAACAACUCUCCUGUAGAUCCGUGAACGAUUAGAUUUGGCCCGACAAAACCGCGAGAUACGGCCGUAUCCAAACACGUUCUGCAACGUGUCACAUUUCUGCACGUCAACACGAGAUGUCCUAGGGAUAGACAGCGAAAAUAGAGCCUGCUAUUCCGAGGAUUAUGCAAGGUAGGCUUGAGAAACAACUGAUUAC